GGUUCUCAAUUCCCCGCGCGGGAAUUUGUUAUUGAUAUGGAGCCUCCUGACAGUGCAGAGUAACCUGUGAUAUGGACGAUUUUCUUCCCUCGAGUCUCUAAAGAUGUUGGUCAAUACGUAAAGCAGUGAAUUUAGCUGGUUCUUUUGUCACACAGAGGAAAUGGAAGCAGAAAACGGCGUAAGCGCCGAAACGUUCACUGUUUCCCAGGCGAAAGCAAGCGAGAAAGCGGUGGAGUAUCUGGCCAGUAUAGAUGAGGAAAUAUGGGAAUCAUUGCUGUUUUCUGACUCACUGGUGACUACAUCUCAAACUGGCAGAGAAAUAGGUGAAAUGACAAUUACUGUGGAGAACACUAUGUGGAGAGGAGAGCCUUGUUAUCUUGUACAUGCUAACAGCCAUGGGUCCAUAGAUCAAGUACCUAUUGGAACAUCUGUAACAGCCUAUGUUGGAAGAUCUCUUCAGACAUUUGAACAAACCCAUUAUGAAUAUGUCAAGAUACCAGAUAACCCUCUGGAUAAAAAGACUCUUAUUGUACUUGAUGAGGAUGGAACAUACUCUGUGAAGAAGACUGAAUCACAGGGAGAUGAAAUGCAGAGAACUGACAAGUAUUACAAAAAAGAAUUAUUCCAGGGUUUUAUAUCCGAAGGUUCUAAUCUGCUGCUACAGAGAAUCAUGGUGAAUAGAGGAGUUCCAGAAGACAUGACAUUUGUUGCAUUUGACUCGACAACUAGUCUAUGUACUUCAUCUUAUAAAAUGCUUGGCAGGUCAGAGAGGAAAAUUGGUUUGCAACAAGUUCAUGCGGUAGGACUGAAUCGUACAAUUCAUUCAGUUGAGGAGUCACCAACCACAUGGGAAUCGUACUUCCUAUCGACCGGGCAUCUGGCAAGUCGAACACAGUUGGGCUCUGGGGUAACUAUGACCUUGUCAAGAAUACCAGAGGAACAUCAGAAUACAGAUACAGUCUUAACAGACAAGACAACAGAAGUUAAACCUCUCAAAUGGGAAGAAGAUAUGCAACUGUUCUCGCGUUUUUUAGACCGAAAGGCGGAGUUGGCUGACGAUCACGCAACCUACAUGAGAAGGCAUCCAGAGCUGCGGGCUCUACUUGCCGACUUUCUACAAUUCCUACUGCUUCGAAAACCUGAUGACGUCACUGGCUUCGCCUCCGAGUUUUUUGGCGCGUUUUCAACGGCCGCGCCCUCCGUACCUUCAUUCGCUCGCUCUUCUCCAAGCCCUGCGCGACCUUCCUCCAUGCCCUGAGGACUUUGAGAUACUUGGUCUCAGUCCUUCCUCGCAUGCCCUUCAAAUAAGCAGCUUCAUUCAAUUUUGUACAUGAUUAGAAGAGAGACAUUCGUAUAGUUCAAGUUACAAUGUUUUCCUGAUCUUGUGAAAUUUCUAUCAGUGUGUUCUUGGUGGUGGUUUCUUUUUUCAGUUACUAAGUUCAAAAUUCAUGGCUCACCAAGUUAGUUACUUCCUCUUUAUUUCGAAAUGUAAACCCUUUCGGAAGGCAGUGACGAUACAAUGUUCCGUUUGAGCCUUGGGCCUCAGUGCCAGAUUGUACUUUCCUUUACAGUUUUUAAACCAUAUAUGGAAUGUUAAUCCCUUGUGAGAAAAUGUUUCUUAACUGUUUUCUUCAUUACAUGCCUCCACUCGAAAACUGCAAAAUAAGAAAAAGGGCGUGGGGAGAUCCUCCUUAUGCAGUCCUCAGCGAUUUCCUUCAAAAACGCCCACUUUUUGAUAAGGAACGGAGACUAUUUAAUCCUUCAUUUUUACCGGAGAACCAAAACAUCAGUGAAGGUGGGAAAAAGAGACAAGUCUAAACAGAGCUCAAUCGUAUUACCUUUGACAACGAUAAAUGACACAGACUGCUGUGGUUCAUCCCCAGGGACACUUGCAUCCACGAACCAUUUCCGUCGAUUACAAAAGAAGAGAAGAGUCUGGGACGGUGUGUUGUGAUACGGCAUCCCUAAAGGCAACGAGGAUCUGUGAGCACGAAACAUAAGGGCCCCUGUGGGCUUUUGGAUGAGUGCCCUUGCUGAAUACAUAUUUGGAACCCAAACCGAUCGCUACCUCCAAGCUAAAUACAUUAUGUACGCGAAUUUAAUGAUAUUAAUGAUAUUAGAACGGCAUUUAAAUUUUUCGCACCUUUAAUCUCCUUUCUUUGUUUCAAACGAGACUCGAAAACAAAACCUUUGACGAAAUUGUACUGAAAUAAACUAAACACUUGUCUCAA